AAAGAAACUAACAAGGAUUCCCUAGUAACUGCGAGUGAAGCGGGAAAAGCUCAAUUUAAAAUCUGGCGGUCUUUGACCGUCCGAGUUGUAGUCUGGAGAAGUGCUUUCCGCGCUGGACCGUGUACAAGUCUCCUGGAAUGGAGCGUCAUAGAGGGUGAGAAUCCCGUCUUUGACACGGACUACCAGUGCUCUGUGAUGCGCUCUCAAAGAGUCGAGUUGUUUGGGAAUGCAGCUCAAAAUGGGUGGUGAAUUCCAUCUAAAGCUAAAUAUUGGCGAGAGACCGAUAGCGAACAAGUACCGUGAGGGAAAGAUGAAAAGCACUUUGGAAAGAGAGUUAAACAGUACGUGAAAUUGUUGAAAGGGAAACGCUUGAAGUCAGUCGCGUCCGCCAGAACUCAGCCUUGCAAUCUUGCCUGGUGUACUUUCUGGUGGACGGGCCAGCAUCAAUUUCGACUGCCGGACAAGGGCUGGGGGAAUGUGGCACCUUCGGGUGUGUUAUAGCCUCCAGUCGUAUACGGUGAUUGGGAUUGAGGAAUUCAGCAUGCCUUUAUGGUCGGGGUUCGCCCACGUUCAUGCUUAGGAUGCUGGCGUAA
rnacentral:rRNA from 1 species